AUGAACCCUAAAAGCACCUAAUUUCUACAUGGCUAUUCUUGCAAAAUCCCUCGAUUCCAAAAUAUUGAGCCACGAUCCAAACAAAACCACCUUCAGAUCUGAAUAAAACCACCCACGAAAAGGUUUGCAACGGUGAACAAAAUCCCCUCUACUCCAUGGUUUCAGCCGUCACUGGUGAUACUCCAGGUUCUUCCCUUCUCUGGUUCCAGAGAUGACGAUGGUGGUGUCACGGAAGAGGUUCCAGUAAUCCAUUGUCUUCAAACUCUCUAAUGCUAAGUGAGGAUCUUAAUAACCAGCGGAACAUAUUCUGGGACAUUUUGGGAUUCUUGAGGACAAAUAUAGUCCAGGAACCUCUGUGAAGAUCGGUGGAGAGUCACUUACCACCACAAGAUGGUGCUAGCUGGUACAGGUUUGUAAAAUGUUGCUUAUUGUUAGGUGUUUUACUAAAGAUGGCACUAUGGGCAGGUUGAGUCAAGUCAAAAUAGGUCAGGUAUUUACCUCAGGGACAAAAAUGGCAUUUUACUAUUUAGUUUAAUAUAGAACCUUUUGCCAUUUUGCUUAUAGGGGCUUUUAUAUCAACUGCUUAUUUUAGUUACAGUCGGGCAAAAACUGUGAACGAGAAUUUGAAAAUUAAUGUUGCUUUGUUAUCACGAUUUGAUUUGGUAUUCAUAUUGCCUGACAAGCCUGAUGAGUAGCUUGACAAACAAGUUUCCGAACACAUUAUGUCGCUGCAUACGGGAAGUGGGAAUAGUUCACAAACUGUGAAAAAACUUACAGGUAACUUCAGGAUGUGAGGACCGAGUAUGGGAUGCUAAAAGAAUGUAGUGCAGCUGUUGAACGUGCCAAGUUGCUGGCUUCUGAGGUUGUUGGAUUAGAGAUGAAGGUCGAGUUAGGUUAACAAUGGAGAAGUACAUAUUUUGGUUAGAGCUACAGUUUCAGCUGGGAACAUACAGCAUGGGCGAUUGCGCAGCUAGGUUGGGUUGCUGGUUCGGCGGUUCUCAUGACAUUUUCGUUCAUCACUUAUUUCACCUCCACCCUUCUCGCUGAUGCUUACCGUGCACCGGACCCCGUUCAUGGGAAGCGUAACUACACCUACAUGGAUGUGGUUCGAGCCACUCUAGGAGGGAAAAAAACGCAGUUAUGUGGGAUAGCUCAGCAUGUGAACCUUGUUGGAGUUACUAUUGGUUACACAAUCACUACUUCUAUAAGCAUUGUGGCAGUGAAAAAGAUCAAAUUGUUUUCACUAUAGCGGGCACGACGCACAUUGUCAACCAUCCAAUUAUCCAUACAUGGCUGUGUUUGCAGUUAUACAGAUCGUGUUAAGCCAAAUCCCAAAUUUUCAUAAACUAUCAUGAUUAUCGUACUAGCCGCAGUGAUGUCUUUUGCUUACUCUCUCAUUGGACUCGGUCUCUCUUUUGCGAAAGUAGCAGGAGGGGUGCACACGAAGACAACUCUAUGUAUGAGACUAUUUGUGAGCGGGCUAAGGAAAAUUACAUUGCUGGACAAUGUGGCAUCUGUCGAGUAAUAGCCAUUAUGGUCUGCUCUUUCUUCUUGCUCAAAUUGGCACAUCAAGGGGUAGAGGAAAGCCAUUGACAUUCUGGAAAGAGUUGACUUUGUCUCCAUAACCAUGUGAUGGCUGAUGAACACGAAAAAGACUUGGUAGACAUGUUAAAAGAAAAUUACCCGACUGACAUAAUCAAAUACAUAAAUUAUGUCGAAUCCCUACAACGUGGACGCCCGUCACAUGUUUGAUGGAAAAACUGUAAUCGAGAUAAGAUAAGUAGCUUAAGUGC
rnacentral:lncRNA from 1 species